AGCUAUUGCAGCUCUUUUGGAAUUGUUUCUUGCAGAUUUUCUGACUUUGGCCAGAAAACCCAA
rnacentral:snRNA from 1 species